rnacentral:lncRNA from 1 species
GAGAGAGAGAGAGAGAGAGAGAGAGAGAGAGAGCGCAUGUAAGAUUUAAAGAGGAAAUAAAAGACAAAUUACAAACAGUAAUGGAAGAGUAAUAAGAGUAUUAACCUGCAUGGUGUGAAAGUACAUGUACAUGUAAAUGAAUGAACACCCUUCGUGCACCAAACAGAUAGAACAGAGAAAACAAAGGACAGAAAGGAGCUCAGCAGUUCAAGGAGGAAUAGAAGGAGGUGGAGGAAAUAAAUAGAGAACAGUGAGAGAGAAUGAGCUGGAGAGAGAGAGAGAGAGAGAGGGAGAGAAAGAAAGACAAAAACAUAGAGGGUACAUGGUAUACAGGUGAAAUAUGUACUAAUAUAAUAAAACAAACAGAUCACUUUUGUAUCAGAAAAUUGCUAUCAGUAUUGAAAAUUAAAUCUAAAUUAGGUAAUUAGAAGAGAAGGGAAGAGAAAGGAGAGAGAAAGAUAACAAGAAAAAAAAGUUUGUCACUAGGGUUAUAGCGACAAGUAGAACUAAAUGGGGAAGAACAAAUCAUGCAAAACAUUAUCCAUAAUCACACACACAGACAGGCUCUUUUACAGGAAAUGAGGCAGAGCAAAGACAGCUAUCUAUUGUUUAUGAAAAGCUUCUAAAACCAGUCAAGGAACGUUUACUCGCCAUUCGGUCGGCUAUUCACGUACCGGGUGAAAUAUAUCAAACCAUCUGUAGCAAAGCAUCAAUUAACUAUGAAUUAAUAGGACAAUGCUGGGAGCUGCGGUGUCGUUAGGCUCUACGCCGCCCAUCAUGGGGCUGAGCAUCCUGAAACGCAAGAAGGGGGACCUACAGCGCACCCUUUCUACCGGUAGUGGCAUCCUUAAACUCAAGGCUCUUGAAGACGCCAAUAGCGCCCUUAAGGACGAGCUACAAAAGGUCCAAGAGGACUCGAAAUCCGCCACUCAGAGAUUGGUAAGUUUGUCCGAGGUCAAGCUCGGCUGUUUUUUGUUUUUCUCUGUAGGUAUAGCACGAGUUUCAUUUCCAUCCUGCCCUCUAGGGAGCUGUGUCAAAUUGCCAAUGAAAUAUCAUCUGCUGAGAGGCAGAAGGAUGUUAUAUAUUAAUUUAAAAGUUCUAAGUUAGUGCCCUUCUGUCUUGUAGCAAACGAUCUAUUGGAACACGAUUUUUUUUUGUUUGUAUGUUUUUUUUGUUUUUUGUUUGUUUUUGUUCUCUUAAAAAAAAAUAAAGAGCUGAAAUUGACUUUUAGUUGCCAUAAGAAGGAGAGAUGUGUCUAUGAGCCUGCUACCUAUAAUGUAAUAUUGAAUGUUCAUUCCAAAUCAGAGUAGUUAAUGGAUGUGAAAGUGAAUGAAGCGUACAAAUGCCUGAACAUUUCCCCCCCUGCUAAGAUUGCCAGACUUGAUAUGCAUAGAUAUUUAUUUGUGUUAAAGCAUGAUAUAGUGUGGUCACUGUGGUGGGAGUGUGAUAGGAGAUGAGUCGUCAACAAUUCAAGUACGUCCUGAUUAGAAUCCUGUCUGGUAGGCUGCUAUCCCUUAUUGGGCUUGAGAGGGAGGCAGACAUCAUUACCAUUUGAUUCUUGAUUGAGGUUCCAUGUGGGUUGAGAUGGUAUGGGACUUUAUAGUGGUGGUGGUUAUUUUACCUGACUGCUAAGAAAGCAUGAAUGCUGACGGCUUAAGGUCCUCUCUGAGAGACCUGGCUAUGAGGAUUAAUGCCUUACCAUCGCCUUGGUUUUAAACCGGGGUCACCGGAAUACGAGACCACUUCUCUACCGACUGAGCUAUCACGCCUUCUCUCCUUAGUAGCGAUGUACAAUGUAAACUGUAGCUGCACUUAUUUGGUUGUUUAUUUGCAUUUGUGGUCUUUCCAGAGGUAAAUUUUGUUUCAACCCAAAGGUUUAAAAGUUCAAAUUCUUGUGGCAGUGAGUACGUACCCCUCCUCAUAAAGAUAUCAUUUUAGUCCUUUCAGCUCAUGAGCCAAAGUGAACAGAACACUCUAGACAGUCAGUUGAUAGGACUGCGAAUGCAUAGCUAGUGACUGACUACUCAAUGAAGCUAUGGAAUCAAAACGUGUCUGCUGCCCUCUCCCUGCCAGACUAAACCACUUGUUAGCUUCCCACUUGCUGAAUGUCGAUCUUGCUCUGCAGAUUUUCAGCAUUGCUGUAGGUUUGCUUAUGUCCUCUUUUGUAUAUCAAGAAAGGCUUCUCUGUUUAUGGUUCCAGAAUGUUUUAACCUUUGCAGUUCGGUACUACAACUUGUAAGCAACCUUGAAUUCAAAUCAGUUGAAGCGCAAUAAUUUUUCUCUUUGUAGCAUUUGUGUUGUCUAUAGUAGAUAUGAACAUGUUAAAAGGAUGAUUUUUGGUAUUUUAUGAUUAAAAGUAUGUAAUGGAAGUAAAAGACGGUUUCAUGAAAAAGAGAUUAAUUUAAUGAAUGAAUCCAUACAAAUCAUAGAAAAGGUAAGGAGAAAGAAAACGAGAGAGAGAGAGAGAGAGAUACAAUACAAUACAAUUGUUUAUUUAGUUCGUAUUUAUAGCUGAAAUUGCUUAUCUGAAACGUGAAUAAUUUGACUUGCUAUAUGGAUGCGACCUUAGAGAAAAUAGCAUUGCAUAUAUGCACAUAUUCUAGCAAUCUUUAAAGGCUCGUGCAGCCUUGACAAGGAGAGAGAGAGAGAGAGAGAGAGAGAGAGAGAGA